rnacentral:lncRNA from 1 species
CCUGUCUGUCCACUUUCUGCUGAGGCAAGUAGGCCCCCCCAAGGGAUAUAAUUUCUUGAGGAGCAGAAACCAAUCACCAAUGUGGAGAGGUCUCCGGCACGCACAAAACAGCACCUAGUGGCCGGAAAAGGUUUUGCUAAGCUGUCUCCCAAGUCCACUGUCACUGGAAUACGGGGGUCUCAGAGCUGCAGGAGUCCUCCUUUUGGUCUGAAGCCAGUAUGGUUCUGGCUCUGCUGAGGAGAGCUCAUCUUGAAACAUCUUUUCACGUGGAUAUUGUGGGAAGAGAGCCUUGGAAAGUGAAGAUCUUCCCUUAAACACCCUUCCCAUAUGAUACGGAAAAAAAAAAAUCAGUUGUAUGAGUCAUGUCCAGCCUCACAUCCAGACAAGCUAGACCCUCCAUCGAUGAACAGAUCAAGCAUUUGCCCUGGUGGCCUGGCCUGGAAUAUUUUCUGAUUUUGUUGCUGUUGUUCUUUAAUGUCACCAAUCAUAGAAUUUUAGGGCCGAGUGGAAGAUUAUUGAUGAUAUUUUUUCUCUCAAGAAAACGUAUUCUUCAGAUUUGUUUUCUUUCUAUAUAAGCAGAGCUUCUUAACAUCCUGGCAGUUCCAGAGAUUUUACUUCUAGGGCAUCAUGGCAGUUUCAGAAAUUUUGCUUCUAGAGUACUUGUGAGUUGGACUUCUACCAAUGAAAAAGGAAAUAUUGGAUUUUUAAAAAUGUGUAUGUCACGUAUGUUUUUGGUAACUCUUUAUAUUGAUAUAAUCCCAAACAUAUAGAAAAAUUGCCAAGAUCGCACAAGGAAUGCCUGUUUAGCCUUUACCUGGAUUCACUAGCUGUUGAUGCUUUGCCACAUUUUCUUUAUCAGUUUGUUCUACCUUAUAUUUCUUACUUGCCUUCUAUCUUAUGUUUCUGUCUUCUCAUAUCCCCAUUUCUAGUUCUAUCUUUAUAUUUGUAUAUAUCUAUGCAUUUUCCCCUAAAACAUGGGAGUGUAAUUUAAAAACUACAUACUUUACUGAAUAUUUCUUUAUGUUUGAAGACAUUGCAAUACUGUAAUCUAAUCUAUAGUCUUUAUUCAAAUCUCAUGCACUGUUCCAAUAAUGUCUUUAACAGCUUGUUUUUCCAGGUCCAGGAUUCAAUCUAAGAUCAAGUAUUACAGGGAGUUGUCAUGUCUUCUUAGUCUCUGUUAAUCCGGAACAGUUUCAGCCUUUAUCAUCGUAACAGCCUUUGUGAUCAUAACAGUUUUAAAGAAUAUAUGCCAGCCACUAUUUUGACCUUUGUAAUUAAUAAGAAAUUGAUGAGGAGAUACUUCAUGACUAUGUAAAUAUCCUGUUCCUCAUCAAACAUUUACUAUCAGUACUAGCUUUAGAAUCUAUUGAUUGUUUCCUUCUAUAUUUAUAAGUUGGCAUUCUAUUGUAAAUAAUAACUUUCCUUCUUCAUUAUUUAUUUCCAUUUGGACUAAUAGAUUCCUAUUUUACUCAGUGGGUUACAAUCAAGUACUAUCAUUAUUUAUUUUGAUGAAUAAUUUGUUCUAUACCUGGCCCAUGGUAGCACCUUCCAGCUGACUUCUUUGUCCCUUUGAGGGAAAUAGCAUACAAUUGGGUUUUGCUUUUUGAUUCAAACUAUAAUCUCUGCCUUUUAAUUGGAGUGUGUAGACCAUUUACAUUUAACGUAUUAAUAAACGUGCAUAUAAAUCUACCAUUUUGA